rnacentral:rRNA from 1 species
GACGAACGCUGGCGGCGUGCCUAAUACAUGCAAGUUGAGCGCUGAAGGUUGGUACUUGUACCAACUGGGUGAGCAGCGAACGGGUGAGUAACGCGUGGGGAAUCUGCCUUUGAGCGGGGGACAACAUUUGGAAACGAAUGCUAAUACCGCAUAAAAACUUUAAACACAAGUUUUAAGUUUGAAAGAUGCAAUUUUAGCACUCAAAGAUGAUUCCGCGUUGUAUUAGCUAGUUGGUGAGGUAAAGGCUCACCAAGGCGAUGAUACAUAGCCGACCUGAGAGGGUGAUCGGCCACAUUGGGACUGAGACACGGCCCAAACUCCUACGGGAGGCAGCAGUAGGGAAUCUUCGGCAAUGGACGAAAGUCUGACCGAGCAACGCCGCGUGAGUGAAGAAGGUUUUCGGAUCGUAAAACUCUGUUGGUAGAGAAGAACGUUGGUGAGAGUGGAAAGCUCAUCAAGUGACGGUAACUACCCAGAAAGGGACGGCUAACUACGUG